rnacentral:rRNA from 1 species
UUGAACGCUGGCGGCAUGCCUUACCCCUGCAAGUCGCACGGUAACAGGUUAAGCUGACGAGUGGCGAACGGGUGAGUAAUGUAUCGGAACAUGCCCAGUCGUGGGGGAUAACUGCUCGAAAGAGCAGCUAAUACCGCAUACGACCUGAGGGUGAAAGCGGGGGAUCGCAAGACCUCGCGCGAUUGGAGCGGCCGAUAUCAGAUUAGGUAGUUGGUGAGGUAAAGGCUCACCAAGCCGACGAUCUGUAGCUGGUCUGAGAGGACGACCAGCCACACUGGGACUGAGACACGGCCCAGACUCCUACGGGAGGCAGCAGUGGGGAAUUUUGGACAAUGGGCGCAAGCCUGAUCCAGCCAUGCCGCGUGCGGGAAGAAGGCCUUCGGGUUGUAAACCGCUUUUGUCAGGGAAGAAAAGGUUCUGGCUAAUACCUGGGACUCAUGACGGUACCUGAAGAAUAAGCACCGGCUAACUACGUG